UAGUGAAUAGUGUAACGGGAGCACUGAGAGUUUUGGGCUCUCAAGUAGGGGUUCAAGUCCCCUUUCUCUAA
rnacentral:tRNA from 1 species